AAUCCGGCCGCCCGGGGCGCUGUCCGUCCCGUCGAGUGCUGAAACUCCCUGCUCUCGGGCUGGAGAGCCCAACCUGGCCCCCGCAAUUGGGAGGCAAGGGAGAGGCAGGGAGAACUUUCUUUCUCUCUUUAGUGAGUUCUCAUCUCCUCCCACCCCAAGAUAGUCAAGAUUUUGGGUGGGAGCAUAACGAUGGCAUUGGGCUUGCUUUUUCUAAAUCUUAGAAGAUUUUGGGCCGAGUGAGGACUGUGGAGGCUACCAGAUGCCCACCUGUCGGAGGCCACCAGGCUGCCCUGUCCUGGGGCGACCCCACUCCUCACAACACCAGGACCCGAGACCGCUCCGGAGACCAGGAGGACUGACCAGAAUGUGGGUAGCAUCUGCUAGUGGGGGACCAGAUUAAAUAGUGUGGAAGAAGGAAGACCACUUGCCCUUGUUGGCCUGGCCUGGCCUCUUGCUUGAAGCGUUGGACGAUGAUGAUGACGAUGACGACGAAGACGAUUCCUCCACUGAAAACAGAAGCAGCAGCCAUUUCAGGUUUCCAUCCUGGACCAAGGACCUUCAAGUCUCCAAGAACUUGCAGAUUUUUGGUGCAGGAUUGAUGACUACUGAGGCACCUCCAGGACCAGUCAGCUCCCGGAUUCCCAGCCUCGGUGUUGAGACUAUUUCAGAGUGAGCUGAUGACAUGCAUUCUCUAAUAUAUUUGGUAUAUAAAAUGUUUCAUAUUUAAUAUAGAAAAUGUGGGAUCCCAUCAAUUCUGUUCCUCCAGAAAAUUCCAGCUUACAGAGGACACAUGUGCACACCUGUGUGUGUGUGUCCUGUGGAGGUCAGAGGUCAGCCAUGGGCUUGUUCCUUGGAUGGCAUCCAUCUAUCUAGUUAUUUUAUUUUAUUUUAUUUUAUUUUAUUUUAUUUUAUUUUAUUUUAUUUUGAGCUAGCCUCUCUGAUUGACUGGGAACUCUCCAAGCAGGCUAGGCUGGCUGGCUAGUGAGCCCCAGAGAUCCACCUGCCUCUGCCGCCCCGCCCUGGGAAUAAAAACAUUCACUGCCCUGCC